rnacentral:rRNA from 1 species
UAACGGCGAGUGAAGCGGCAUCAGCUCAAAUUUGAAAUCCGGCCCCGCGCGGGGCCCGAGUUGUAAUUUGCAGAGGGAGCUUCGGGCGCGGCGUCGGUCUAAGUUCCUUGGAACAGGACGUCAUAGAGGGUGAGAAUCCCGUAUGCGGCCGGCCGCCCACCCCGGGUGAAGCCCCUUCGACGAGUCGAGUUGUUUGGGAAUGCAGCUCUAAAUGGGUGGUAAAUUUCAUCUAAAGCUAAAUAUCGGCCGGAGACCGAUAGCGCACAAGUAGAGUGAUCGAAAGAUGAAAAGCACUUUGGAAAGAGAGUUAAACAGCACGUGAAAUUGUUGAAAGGGAAGCGCUUGCCGCCAGACCUGCCCGCGGGCGUUCACCCGCCAUUCGUGGCGGGGCACUCGCCCGCGCACAGGCCAGCACGGGUCCGGGCGGCGGGAGAAAGGGCCCGGGAAUGUAGCUCCCUUCGGGGUGCCUUAUAGCCCGGGCUGCCAUGCCGCCCGCCCGGACCGAGGACCGCGCUUCGGCUAGGGUGCUGGCGUAAUGGCGGCAAGCGACCCGUCUUGAAACACGGACCAAGGAGUCUAACAUCCACGCGAGUGUUUGGGCGUCAAACCCAGGCGCGGAAUGAAAGUGAACGGAGGUGGGAUCCCCGCGAGGGGCGCACCAUCGACCGAUCCAGAUGUCUUCGGAUGGAUUUGAGUACGAGCGUGGCUGUUGGGACCCGAAAGAUGGUGAACUAUGCCUGAAUAGGGUGAAGCCAGAGGAAACUCUGGUGGAGGCUCGCAGCGGUUCUGACGUGCAAAUCGAUCGUCAAAUUUGGGCAUAGGGGCGAAAGACUAAUCGAACC